AAGUCGUAACAAGGUUUCCGUAGGUGAACCUGCGGAAGGAUCAUUAAAGAAUCGCCCCGUUUUUUGAAAUGGGUUCUAUUCCCAAACCGUGUAUACAUACCUUUGUUGCUUUGGCAAGCCGCCGCUUAGGCGUUGGCUCCGGCUGACUGCGCCUGCCAGAGGACCCAAACUCGUUUGUUUAGUGAUGUCUGAGUACUAUAUAAUAGUUAAAACUUUCAACAACGGAUCUCUUGGUUCUGGCAUCGAUGAAGAACGCAGCGAAAUGCGAUAAGUAAUGUGAAUUGCAGAAUUCAGUGAAUCAUCGAAUCUUUGAACGCACAUUGCGCCCCUUGGUAUUCCGAGGGGCAUGCCUGUUCGAGCGUCAUUAUAACCACUCAAGCCUCGGCUUGGUCUUGGGGUUCGCGGUCUCGCGGCUCUUAAAAUCAGUGGCGGUGCCGUCUGGUUCUAAGCGUAGUAAUUCUCUCGCUAUAGGGUCCGGACGGUUCCCUGCCAGAACCCCUUAAUUUUUUACGGUUGACCUCGGAUCAG
rnacentral:rRNA from 1 species